GUCUACGGCCAUACCACCCUGAACGCGCCCGAUCUCGUCUGAUCUCGGAAGCUAAGCAGGGUCGGGCCUGGUUAGUACUUGGAUGGGAAGAAAGUUACCGAAUCUG
rnacentral:rRNA from 1 species